rnacentral:rRNA from 1 species
GACGAACGCUGGCGGCGUGCUUAACACAUGCAAGUCGAACGGAAAGGCCCUGCUUUUGUGGGGUGCUCGAGUGGCGAACGGGUGAGUAACACGUGAGUAACCUGCCCUUGACUUUGGGAUAACUUCAGGAAACUGGGGCUAAUACCGGAUAGGAGCUCCUGCUGCAUGGUGGGGGUUGGAAAGUUUCGGCGGUUGGGGAUGGACUCGCGGCUUAUCAGCUUGUUGGGGGGGUAGUGGCUUACCAAGGCUUUGACGGGUAGCCGGCCUGAGAGGGUGACCGGCCACAUGGGGACUGAGAUACGGCCCAGACGCCUACGGGAGGCAGCAGGGGGGAAUAUGGCACAAUGGGCGGAAGCCUGAGACGGCAACGCCGCGUGCGGGAUGACGGCCUUCGGGUUGUAAACCGCUUUCGCCUGUGACGAGGCGUGAGUGACGGUAAUGGGUAAAGAAGCACCGGCUAACUACGUG